UGGGCCGCCAGACUUGCAAGUUCAGUCUCGGGACGGGAGAUCAGGACCUGUUUUAGAGGCGACGCGACCGCGCUGGCAGAGUUGGAGCGGAGAAAAAGUAGGUACAGUGGCCAGGAAGGAGGGAGCCGACCCUUUGUCCCUGGCAGCCCUAGUGCUCCUGCCCUGUUAGAGAUGCGCCUGGCACUCAGCGUCCCGCGCGAAGUCUGCAAACUGCCUGCCCGAGAGCGCUACAGUUUUUGAGAGAAAGUCUUCACUCUGGCGGAGACCUUCACCGGACCUGGGAAUAAGCAAAACCCCACUUCCUUCCUCUGGGUAACUUGAAGUUGCUUGGUAAAGCAAGAACUACAGGACUUCUCAACUUUCAUCCUGGUGGGGUAGAUGCUAAUGAACUCUUUGGAAUCCUAAACUUCUGGCAGAUGGAAAGAAGGGCCUGAGUCCUAAUGGAUAGUACAGACAGGGCCAUCAAUUUCAGCAAGAAGUCGGGUUUACAAGAGAAAGCAGAUGAUAAAGGAGGAUACAUGCCAGCAUAUUCUGGGAAGGACUUGACAUCUACAGAAAAGUGGCAGCAUUUCCCAUUGGAAAAACACCCAGGAGCUGUCUCCUGGUGCUGGUGGCAUGGUCUCUCCAGUGGCACAAGGAACAGCCAGCCUUGCAGGCCUAUCACCCUAUGACAAAGCGAUGCCGGCCCCAAGCGGAAAGAAUCACCUCAAGUAGGACCUGAGCACCCUCCCCUCCUCCCCACCACCAGUGUAAGAAGUUAUCCCAUGAUGAGAAUCAAGAUUAAAGAUCAUCCCCUGGCCCCACUAUUAUAGACAGCUAAGUUAGGUAGACAUACUCUAGGCAGUCAGCCAGGGCUGGUCCCUUGGAGUCAGUGUAGACAGAAGUCAGUGCACAUACAACUGUGGCCUCAAAAUAAAGAUGGAGUGACUAGGCCUGCAUGCCUCCCUGAGGGAUAAACAAUAUAUUCUGAUGGUAUUACUUGGUUCAAUAAAGUGUAGAAAGGCAUCAGUGACCCUCCUGACUUAACUCUUCCAAUAAAGAUUAAAUUGUUCUUUCCAUGUACACUUGCUGCAUGACCUGCUUCCCCUUUGGGUCAAUAUUGCCUAAGCAGCUAUACUUGUAAUCUUAUUGGUUGAUCAUAGUUUCAUCCCACAUUGUGCCCAUCUCAUGAUUUUGUAUCUACCUCAUGAUUUUGCUCUAUAAAACUUCCUCUGAAAAAUGGGCUCAUGGGCAACCCAUUCAGGUCCCCUCCUGUGACUCAAGAGCUAUAUCCUUCCCCCUCAAUAAAUUCUCCCUACUCUUAAUUUCCAUUGUUCCUUAGAAUUCAUUCUUCAAUUUGGGGGAACAUGCACUUGGCAUAUCUGACAUCCAGCAGGUUGGGAGUUACAUUGUUUCUCCUGUAUCAUUUGGAAGUCCUAUAUCACCACCACACAGAAACAAUUACCUCAUAGGAAUGAAAUUGGCCCUCAGCGAUAGAAAUUCAUCCAGAGGUAGGAAACCAGGACUGAGAUAACCAACCUGACCUCAGCCCACCACAUAAAGCUGCUCUCUUUUCAUUGUAACAAGCCAGUCUGAUCUUAGUCAGAUCUGUGUCUCUUUAAGUUCCUCCAACUGAACGCUCUUUCCUAUUUUCUCUUACUUUCCUCUGUUAAGAGACCAGCUUAAUACUUUUCACACUGUGCCUAUUUCAUUUUCCCUAAAUUUCCCCUUAAAGUUUCAGAAAGUUCAUGCUGAUUGCUUCAGAUUUAAUUUCAGUUAUCAUUGGAGGACCUGUGUUAGGUGGUGACAGAUUCUGCAGAACCAGACCAAUGAUCAGCCAGACAACACUUUGAGUAAAACUACUUGGCUACGCAUUCCUCUUGCUCCCUGCCAUAGUUGUUCUGUACCUAAUCCUACAACUAUUCUUGGUACCCUGAAGACAGGUAUUAUGACUCUAGUCCAGUUUAUUUCCAUUGUGACCACAACGAAUAAACUCCUUUCCUCAUUCUGUGAUUGGAUUCUCCAGGUGGCAGGUGGUGGUCCUAUUUUCUGGGAUGUUCACUCCGGCUUUGAGCCAAUACUGUAGUAAGAAAACUUCUUUGGAAGUGAACUAAAAUUUUCAAGAGGUUUUCAUUUGUACUACUAUUCAGAUAUGUCUACAUUACCUGCAUGUGUGGGACUGGUUCACUGUGCCAAGUUUGAAUUUUGUUGUCUUUAUAAAUCUCUCUCCUGCCAGAGUCAGUCCAUGGCAGGUUUUUGAAACUGGCAUCUCCACAUUUUCAAUCUAUUACUGUUCUUUCUAACUUCCUGAUAAUAUAUAUUAAUAUAAGAUACAGAAAAAAUGAAGAGCUAGGAUAGACUGUGCUAAGAUUUACACAGAACUUGUGAUUUUCUUAGAACUUUGCUAGAGUACAGUGCUUUUUAACUUUGCACUUGAGAUGACAGAACAUGUUUUCAAAAACACAAAUACUGGCAUGUAGCAUUAGAAUUCUGGUUUAGCUAGUCUGGUACAAGAAUUGGACAUUAGGAUCCUACCAGGCAACCAAAAUUGAGAAACUCAAGCAUUUCCAACAGCCACAGGGACUAGCAUUGUGUGAAAGUGGCAAAAUCAACAAACUCAAAAUGAAACAAAAUGUAUUAACUACUGUAUUGUUUGAAUAGCACAGUCUGCACUUACUAAAUUUUCCCUUCACACAUUACCUUUCUACUAUUAUCAUUAAGUAAAGAAAAUGCUGGCCAAUGGUAUACUUGAGUGCAAAUAUAUAUAUAUAUAUAUAUAUAUAUACACAAACACAUACACAGUUACCACUCGAUUCAUGAAUGCUUUUGUUUGUAAACAGUUUUGUUCCCAAACAGAGCCGUUUGACAAAAUUUUGUUUUUAUUUGUGAACUCUGUACAGGGUGACUAACAGAACCACAGCUAUCUUUCCCGCAGGAAUGUGAACAUGGGCAUCUUUUCCAGAAUCAUGGAACGAAUUAAGUUUGUAAAUUGAGGUACCAUUGUACACAUAUACACAUACAUUGUACAUACACACACACACACACACACACACACACACAUAUGAGGCUAGAUUAGUUUUAAAAAGAAAGUUGGUCAGGACUUUUUUCAGUCCUUACCCC
rnacentral:lncRNA from 1 species